rnacentral:lncRNA from 1 species
GGAGAGAGAAAUAAAAGAUAAAGCGCUAAAUUAUGACCAUUAUUUUAUGUUUUGACGUUAAGGCUAGCUGUUAAAAUAAACUGACGGUGCUUGGUUAAAAGUAGAGGGAGACUAAAAUUGAUAAGUUUUUGGAUACUUAAAGGACUAGAAACGGUAAGUGCAUAUUUAAGACUAUCAUAAACCUAUUCUAAAAGAUAAGGGAUGAUUUAUGUCCUUUCCUCUAAAAAGUUCCCUAGUCUAAAGACCUAGAACCUACACCCUAGACCCCUUUGAGAAUCCGCCGUUGACAAAAAAAAAGGCCCCCUCCCCGAUCUGGUCUUCUUCUCGAAAAGAAAAGAAGCCAUUUUCCAUGGCUGUUGGUUGAACAAGAAAGAACAGAGCCUUAAGAUCAUCCAUGACCCUAGGUCCCAUCUUCCUCAUGGAAACAAAAACAAGAAAACCCUAGGACCCUUCGACCAAACAACCGUCUGGACCUAAGACCAAAGGAGAUCUGCCGCUGUUCCUGUCCAAACCACCCUCACCUAGCCGGAACCUGAAAUUGACGCCAAACAACCAGUCUCGACCUUCCGUUUCCACUCGAACUCCAUACCUCUUCACCCCAAUCAACCCCAUCGCUGGAAACAGACGACUGAAAAUGGCAGCACUAAAAUGCACACCGCUCGAAGCUACAGUCGAGCCCUUCAUUUUCUGGUUUCAUUUUUAAAAAAAAGCUAGUUUCGAUUUGGAAUUUUUGUUAUUUUUCUACUUGAAAAUCACUUGUUGAAUUCCAUCACGAGUCUCCAGAUCCUUUCAUUGUUGGAGCCGUUUGAGUUCGACUCGUGUAGAGGUUGCUGUGGGGGUUUAAGUCCAAGAUUCCGGUUCGAUUUUUGCUGAUUUCGUUUGAAGCUGUGUCGAUUUUUGGCUGUAUUUGUUGCUUUGUUUCAAUCCGUGUACUAUUGGAAAUUUCAUCAAAUGAAAGUUCGAUUUUCAGAUUUCGAUCAAGAUUGAAACCCGUUGGAGUUUCGUUCAGUCAAGGUCUUCAAAGGUCCAUCUUCAUGUUUCCUUUCAAUUUAUGUCAUUUUCUACUGAAAUUUUGUGAAGUAUUGUUGUUUGGUGAUUUGCUAUUCUUCAUUUGUUUAUCUAUUGUGUCAAUGUUGAAUUUGUUUUGGUUUCCUUCACUUGAAUGCAUUUGUCACCACUGUGAAUGAUGCCACCAUGUGUAAUACAGCAAAGAAUGUGCCCUUAUUCUAUUGCAGAGUUGAGAACAUGAGUAUAUGGAGCUCAAUUGUUCACGUACGAAACUGGGCUCCGUGAUCCACUUCACUGCUGGGGUUUUCUUCGAGGCCCAUAUACUUAUGUUUCGUUAGCUACGUGUUAGACAAUUAUAUGAGACUUCAGAGGAGUAGAUAUUGUACUAAGUGUAAUUCAAGUAGAAGCUGAAAUUUGGUAAAUUCAAGAUAUGAACGCCUAUAUAAAUUUAAGGACGACUAUUGUGGUGAAUGUUCGCUUGUUUGAAAUUAAGCCUUUGACACGCAUGUGCGAUGAAACACACAUAUAUACUCUGCUUGGUGUGGUUGUCGUUGAAGUUUGGCUCUACGUAUUGCAAAUACAGUGAUAUGUACUUCUCAGCUUCCAUUGAUCAAUUUGAUUCAUGUUUACUGUGUGUGUUUAUUUUUGCAACAUAUUGCUAAUUACGGACCCCUCAAAAUUUGAAAGGGAAUCUAAGUGAAAUGAUAGGAUUUUUUUUAACGAACUCUAGAUCCUAAGUCUCAUACUAGACGAAUAAACAAUUUUCAAAUAUUCGUAGUAUUUCUUAGGCAUGCUUUAAUUUACUAUCGUAAUUGUAUACAUGUUCGCGUGACAUAAUUAUGAUUUUCAAAAUAAUUUGAGGUGUGUCAUACGCAAAUAAAAUUCAUAACCUAUGGCCCUCACAUUAAUAUUAACUUAGCAUAGAGAAACACCUUUUUAAACAUUCGUAGCUUGCUUUAGGCACGUUUAUAAUAAAAUCAUCAUAGCUACGGGUAUGGUUCUCGUGAUGUAGUUGUGAUACCUAAUUUCCAAAUCAGGGGGUACAUUUAUGUGACCCGGCCACAAUUUCUAAUACCUUUAAUAAAUUAAACAUAUUGUAGAUCGUGAGUACGGUUUCCGUGACAUGAUUCGCAUUGUGUAUCAAACAAACAAGUGUACUACAAUCGUAACUUGUUCCAAAAUAAUUCCAUAAAAUAAUUAAAAGUGAAUUAAAGUUUAAAAAUGCACACUAGGUUUAAAAUGUGUACUAAAUUAGAUAAUAGGCCAAUUAUUAAUAGUUUAAGCGACCGCGCUCGAACCACGGAAUCUGGGAAUGCCUAACACCUUCUCCCGGGUUAACAGAAUUCUUUAUCUAGAAUUUUUGGUUCGCAGACUUUUAAAUAAAGUCAAAUUUCCUCGAAUUGGAUUUUAAAAUAAACUGGUGACUUGGGGCACCAAAUAAUUUAUCCCAAGUGGUGACUCUGAUAAAAUAAUUAAAAUAAUCUCAUUUCUAAUAAUGUCACUUUAAUUGAAAAAACUCCCUUGUAUACCCUCUCGCGUGGUAAAAAGGAGGUGUGACACUAUAUUGUAUUGAAAGUGCUGGGCAUCUUGCGAGCGUCUUGGCGGGUGUACCACUCCAAAGCUGCCCCAGUCACACUCUGACUGAAUUAGGCCAUCAAUAUCUCGUCCUUCCUGCCACCACCUCUCAUCUUACUGCAAUAACCUCUCAAAUGGGCCAUGGGAUCACCAUGUCCGUCAUACAAAUCGAACUUUGGUGUCUUACACCCAGCGGCAGUUGGACAUUAGGAAACAAGCACAAAUCUUUGUAACAUACGCUCAUCUAACUCCUUAUCCUUUGCAUGUUUCUUAAAGACUGCUCUAAGAUUUUCACCUUCCUGGAUAUCUCAUCUUGCUCCACUGUCUUAUCAGGCUUUUCAGUUUCACCGGGAGGCUCAAAAUGAAGAGCGUGGGAGUAUGGAUCCGAGACCUUGAAAGUCGAUUCUGGAGCAUAGUGUUGGGCAUCGGGGACUUUGAACACAGUCUCGCUAGAGGAUCGAGGAAAAGUAGCUGAUGGAGGAGCUACAAAAACAUGGGCCAAAGGAGCGGAAUAUGAGGUGGUUUUGGCGGGUAAAGUGUGAAAAAGUUGUGGGGAAAUAUCAGCAGCAGUGAGAAUCUGGAUUUGUGAUAGUGGUAUGAUAGUUGCAGGGUUUUCAGUGUAGUUAGUGGGGAAUAAAGGCGGAGG